rnacentral:SRP_RNA from 2 species
CGCGGACUCCGUGCGGCGUCAUCCUGUGAACUCCCCCAGGGCCGGAAGGCAGCAAGGGUAAGCGGGCUCUGGCGGGUGCACGGGGUCCCCUUUU